AGGCAAAGGCGAAACAAAGGGAUUGCGAAGGCAGAACCCUCUUAAUGUCAUUGGUCUUCGUCUUGCAAAUGACAAUGGGACUUCUGCAAAGCACAUCAGGAAGAACUAGCUGGGCCUAUGCAAGGAAGAAGGGAAGAAAUAAUGUGACACUAGAUGAUCUCAUUCAUGUUAUUACUCUGAAAGGAAGAUGUCAGUU